CGCACGCACACAGCUCCCGCUCCUUUUGGUCCGGGUGCCCCUGCGGCCGGCGCCUUCACAUGGCUUAGACUGACAGCAGUCUCAAAGUGGAUAUAGCAUUUUUUUAAUAGUCUUUUCAGCGUGAAAAACGGGAUUAAAAUCCUGCCUUUCAGAUAAACCUUAUCCCUGCAAGAGUACUGGUACUUGAAAAAGAGUCCUUGAAUAACCUGCACAGAAGCUGAACCACCACAGAGGUGCUACUUUGGAAAAGCAAGCAGAGGAAGGUGCCAGAAGCAGUGCAGAGGAAACAAUUCUGAAGUUUUCCAUACUCCCCUGAAGUAAGGACAUGGGCUCACUUGGAAGGAGUUUCUAGGGUUUAAGCUGUGCGAAGAGGCGAGAACACGUCAUCUGCAGGACUCUGAAUAAGUUAUGUAUUUCCCACUGGACUUGUGGCCAAAGCCUGCCCAUGAAGGACCAAGCAUGAUGGAACAAGCUACUUCCAGCAAUAUUCCUGGAGUGAGAGACUGGAAGGAAUCAAACUCAAUCAUCAAAAUGAGCAAGCAAAGGGCACGCUUUCAGUGGAUGGCACUGCUGUUUUGCACAUGCUCUGGAACACACCACAUGCCCUCAUGCAGAGCCAUCUGAGCUGCUGUCCCGUGUGGUUUUCCUGGAGUGCAUGUUCUUCAGGAAUUUGUGGUUCUCCUACAGUGCACACCCCACAGAUACAAACACACGAGGGUCUUUUGAAGAACAGCAGUCGCUGCUCAUCAAAGGAAAGAAAAAGAAGCCUUUGCAGAAUCUGAAGAUAUUGGAAUACAUUCUGCAAUUUCCUGGACUUUAUGCUGCCUUUUG